AAAAGCAGGAUGAUUAGGACAAACAAGUACAAGAUAUUGCCAAUCAAAUAUGGAAUUUCUUGUAAUGAGGGACUAAAUUUGAUAAUUUCAUUCGCGUACACGUUUAUUGGUCUUUGUAGAGGAUGACCAAGGAUAUGCAUGUCAACUUCCAUCCACAACAAAGAAGAGAGGUUGCCUCUAAUCAUCCUGCUUUUACCUGCCAUUUUUACCGAUCAUCGAUGGGUUCUGGAGACACUUUACUACAUCAUUUACAGGUUUUAAUUUUAUUCAAAUGUUCAAUGGGAGCUUGUAAUCAAGCAUCUCCCUUAUAUUUAACCGAAUUGACGGCCCCAUUGAUGAGCAUAUGUGCGCACUUUUCCAAUACACUCCUUUUGCACCUGAUGGCUUGUUUGAUUCUACUGAUCUUACUGCAGCAAGCAAGUUUAAGAGGAGGUCUUCUUCUGAGAAGUCGACCUUUCCAAAAGGUAUGUGAACAAUUCCGGUUUUAUCUGCCCUAUAUUCAACUUUUCCCUUCUUGAACUCUGCUAUUGCCUGAGGUAUGUUAGUUGCAACAGUACCAGCUUUUGGAUUUGGCAUGAGUCCCCGAGGUCCUAAAAUCUUACCUAAGCUGGCAACCUUAGGCAUCAUGUCUGGGGAUGCAAUUAAUUUGUCAAAGUCAAUGAAUCCUCCUUUUAUCUGUUCUAUCAGGUCCUCCCCACCAACCAAAUCUGCUCCUGCAUUUUUUGCUUCAUCGAACUUUUCACCUUGUGUAAGCACUGCCACUUUAACAGUUUGUCCAGUUCCCUUGGGCAAAUUUACAGUUGCCCUCAGCUGUUGGUCAUUAUAUUUGGGAUCAAUGUUAAGACGGAAAUGAGCUUCAGCAGUUUCAACGAACUUUGAGUUUGCCAUUUGCUUCAGCAAUGAUAUUGCUGCAUUUAUGUCAUAUUCUUGCUUGUUUUCCCUCAAUUUUUGAAUUUCCAAGAAUCUCUUAGAUCUUGUCUGGCAUUUCCACGAAAAGGGUAUGAAGCUGAGUUCUUGAAAGUGUAUAAGAAUCCUGUCUCUCUUCAAGGGCAAUGCAGCCCUUCCCUUUCUUAGGCUUAGGUGGAGCAACUGUAGCGGUGGCCACAUCACCUCCCUCUCUCCCCUCCAACUCCUCAGCCACCUCUGCCUCUGCAGCCAAAGCAGCAGCCACAACCACACUGCAAGUUCCAAACUUUGCCUCUUUUUGUGUAAACAAAUUGACGAACUUGCUUGAUUUUCUCUCCCCACCAGAACCCAGAGCCCAUGGAUAGAGAGAAAAAGUUCUGGGCUUGAAGGAGAGAAGGGAAGGAGUGAGCUCUUGUGGAUGUACUGUGGUGGAGGCGUACGUUGGCAUUAAGGAAGAGGGUGUUGUACAGGUUGCCAUUGUUGUUGGUUUCGCUUAAGC
rnacentral:misc_RNA from 1 species